rnacentral:rRNA from 1 species
CCUACGGGAGGCAGCAGUGAGGAAUAUUGGUCAAUGGCCGGAAGGCUGAACCAGCCGAGUAGCGUGAAGGAUGACUGCCCUACGGGUUGUAAACUUCUGUUAUAAAGGAAUAAAGUGAGGCACGUGUGCCUUUUUGUAUGUACUUUAUGAAUAAGGAUCGGCUAACUCCGUGCCAGCAGCCGCGGUAAUACGGAGGAACCGAGCGUUAUCCGGAUUUAUUGGGUGUAAAGGGAGCGUAGAUGGGUUGUUAAGUCAGUUGUGAAAGUUUGCGGCUCAACCGUAAAAUUGCAAUGGAUACUGGCAGGCUGGAGUACAGUUGAGGUAGGCGGAAUUCGUGGUGUAGCGGUGAAAUGCUUAGAUAUCACGAAGAACUCCGAUUGCGAAGGCAGCUUACUAAACUGCAACUGACAUUGAUGCUCGAAAGUGUGGGUAUCAAACAGGAUUAGAUACCCCGGUAGUC